rnacentral:rRNA from 1 species
AGAAUCAACGCUGGCGGCGCGCUUAACACAUGCAAGUCGAACGAGAAAGGGGAGCAAUCCCUGAGUAAAGUGGCGUACGGGUGAGUAACACGUGGGUCAUCCACUCUUUGGUGGGAAUAACCCUGGGAAACCGGGGCUAAUACCGCAUAAGCCCUUUGUUGAAAGAUAGAGGGGAAAGGUGCAAAUCGCCGAAGGAGGAGCCCGCGGCUGAUUAGCUAGUUGGUGGGUAAAAGCUCACCAAGGCGAAGAUCGGUAGCCGGCCUGAGAGGGCACGACGGACCGACGACUGGCACUGAAACACGGGCCAGACUCCUACGGGAGGCAGCAGUGGGGAAUCUUGGCACGAAUGGGGGCAACCCGUGAUGCAGCGACGCCGACGUGAGCGAUGAAGCCCGUUCGGGGUGUAAAGGCUUCGUUUCGGGCACGGAACGAUAAGUGACGGUACCUGAAGAAGAA